rnacentral:sRNA from 1 species
UUGUAAAUUGGGUUUUUUUUUUACCGAUAGUUAAAGCGAAGCUUUACUUCGGGAGUUGCCAAAUUGUUAAGGCGCGGGAUCAGCUGCAGCAGGGAGGCUUAGGAAAGCUGCAAUAUCAGCUGUUCUGCAUUUCCGGUAACCUAAAUGGAAUGUAGGUUGUUCCAUGCUCGGUCUUUUCUUUCGAAACCACCCAGAAGUGCAGACGCCCAAAUAGUAUCUCUCUGCAAGUGUAAAUUUUAUCAGCGCAAGAGCAGCGCAAGUGCAGUGUUCAUUUUUUUUAUUUAUCAACUACCAAAUUUGCAACGGUGAUAAGGGCAGCCUAAGCCUGUGUUUGUGGGUUUUUUUUGUUUUUGUUUCGCGGCUUUAUAAAAGCGCGACCUCGUGGCGGCCUUAUCAAAAUUUAUCAGGCGGUCCACCUCAAAGCACCCCGGGAGCGCUCCUGGUGGAGGCUCCCAGUUCAGGAGCGGCUUAACCUCGAUCGGGUAAUCCGUCUCCCCCCCUCAUCUUCACCACCAUCUUCAUCAUCAUCUUCAUCUCCUAAUACAUUGGUGCCGGGAAAUUAACACUCAGUGGCCGGAAAAUUAACCGUAGGGAUGGUGUAAAGAGGAUUUGCAGACCCAACGAAUUCAAGACCCGUUAAGUGAAAGGCCGUUGACCCCACCAGCCAUGGAAUAAGGAGCAAAAGAGAAAUUAUUAAAACCGCUAGCCCAGCCGCCCAGCUCCAAACUCGUGGCGAUCAUUUUUUUUCUCUCUUUUCUCAUCUACAUUUCAUCCCCCAAUUC